rnacentral:rRNA from 1 species
CCUACGGGUGGCAGCAGUCGAGAAUCAUUCACAAUGGGGGAAACCCUGAUGCUGCGACGCCGCGUGGGGGAAUGCAGGUCUUCGGAUUGUAAACCCCUGUCAUGUGGGAGCAAAUUAAAAAGAUAGUACCACAAGAGGAAGAGACGGCUAACUCUGUGCCCGCAGCCGCGGUAAUACAGAGGUCUCAUGGGUUGUUCGGAAUCAUUGGGCGUAAAGCGUGCGUAGGCUGUUUCGUAAGUCGUUGGUGAAAGGCGCGGGCUCAACCCGCGGACGGCACAUGAUACUGCGAGACUAGAGUGAUGGAGGGGGAGCCGGAAUUCUCGGUGUAGCAGUGAAAUGCGUAGAUAUCGAGAGGAACACUCGUGGCGAAGGCGGGUUCCUGGACAUUAACUGACGCUGAGGCACGAAGGCCAGGGGAGCGAAAGGGAUUAGAUACCCUUGUAGUC